CAGCUGGCCCCUGUCGGGAGGGUCUCUUGGCCUCAACUCCCAGGGCCCACUCCUCUCCUCUGCAGUUACAGCCUCAGGGGCUUCUCCUGCCCUCCCACCCUCCCUGCCAACACCCUGCUGUCUGCAAGGGCUCUGCUGCGAUGCCCACCAUGUGACCCUGCAGCUCCGUGGGGACAGGGGUGGAGCCAAGCUACCUACUGACCCACAGGCAGGCACUUGGGGUACUCCAGAAACCCUGAUGGAGCAGAGGAAGGGGUGCAGGCAGAGCCCUCCAGAGGUGUUCAGCCCAGAGGAAGGGACCAGCCUCAGGACAGGGGAAGCUGGAGUUGGUCCCAACCCCUGAGAAGUCUCAGAGUCAGGGCCACCUCCUCUGGGCAGCCCUCGGUCGGAAGGAUUCUUUCUGUCCUCUGAAUGUUCCCAGCCUGUGUGGAUCUCUCUAGGGGCACAAUUUCAGAGCUGGCUGGGCCAGAACACAGAUUCCCAAGGAUGGCAUUUGUGUCCUCACCUCCGGAGACUGCCGGAGACCUGCCUGUCACCCAUCUCCAGCCGCGUCUUCCAGUGACAUGCCCUGUGCUUGUCACCGCUGGUCUCCUCACAUCAGGGGAUGAUGGGUUGGGGAAGCCUGGCUCCUUUUCUCUAAACAGAUGCUAGUGGGUUUCCUCAAAUGGACAGUGUCCUUGGCUACCUGUCUACACUGAGUGUCUGGUCCUGGGCUUUGCACACUGAGAAGUCUCAAUGCCAGCUGUACUCCACGGGGGAAUGAUCCA